rnacentral:rRNA from 1 species
GACGAACGCUGGCGGCGUGCUUAACACAUGCAAGUCGAACGGAAAGGCCCUGCUUUUGUGGGGUGCUCGAGUGGCGAACGGGUGAGUAACACGUGAGUAACCUGCCCUUGACUUUGGGAUAACUUCAGGAAACUGGGGCUAAUACCGGAUAGGAGCUCCUGCUGCAUGGUGGGGGUUGGAAAGUUUCGGCGGUUGGGGAUGGACUCGCGGCUUAUCAGCUUGUUGGUGGGGUAGUGGCUUACCAAGGCUUUGACGGGUAGCCGGCCUGAGAGGGUGACCGGCGACAUUGGGACUGCGAGACGGCCCAGACUCCUACGUGAGGCAGCAGGCGGGAAUAUGGCACAAUGGGCGGAAGCCUGAUGCAGCAACGCCGCGGGCGGGAUGACGGCCUUCGGGUUGUAAACCGCUUUCGCCUGUGACGAAGCGUGAGUGACGGUAAUGUGUAAAGAAGCACCGGCUAACUACGUG